rnacentral:rRNA from 1 species
UGAGUAACACGUAGAUAAUCUGCCUCCAAGCCUGGGAUAACUAUUCGAAAGGAUAGCUAAUACCGGAUGAAGUUGUCUGACACAAGUCAAGAUAAUGAAAGAUUGCCUCUUCUUGAAAGCAAUUGUUUGGAGAUGAGUCUGCGGACCAUUAGUUUGUUGGUGGGGUAAAGGCCUACCAAGACUACGAUGGUUAGCUGGUCUGAGAGGAUGAUCAGCCACACUGGAACUGGAACACGGUCCAGACUCC